rnacentral:pre_miRNA from 1 species
AGUGAAAUUGCUGGGUCAUGUGGUAAAUUUAUGUUUCUCUUUGAAAUAAACUGCCAAACUAUAUUCCAAAGUGGUUGUACCAUUUUACGUUUCCACCAGCAAU